rnacentral:rRNA from 1 species
UACGGGGGGUCGCUAGUCGUCGCUCGGAAUCACUGGGCGUAAAGCGCACGUUAGGCGGAUUGUUAAAGUCAGGGGUGAAAUCCUGGAGCUCAACUCCAGAACUGCCCUUUGAUACUGGCGAUCUUGAGUCCGGGAGAGGUGAGUGGAACUGCGAGUGUAGAGGUGAAAUUCGUAGAUAUUCGCAAGAACACCAGUGGCGAGGCGGCUCACUGGCCCGGUACUGACGCUGAGGUGCGAAAGCGUGGGGAGCAAACAGG